rnacentral:lncRNA from 1 species
GUGGGAGGCAACAGCUGCCAUGCUGGAAGGAGCAGAAGAGGUUCUCACUCCCAUCCCCUCUCCCGUGGCUGGAGACCUUGGGCAAGUCACUCCACCUCUCUGGGGAGAAGAAAAUUAAGAAUGAUUCUGAAAUUUCAAAGAGAUGUCGACUUAAGGAAGAAAUGGAAAGAAAUGAAAAUUUGCAAUGUCACAAAGCCAGAGCAUGCAUGGAAGAAGAAAUCUUGACCUGAAAUGACCGCAGAACCAAGGAUUCUCCCCCCAAAUGGAACAAAAGGACCAGGACAUGACUGGAACUUAAAAAGUCAGACUCUAAUCAGAAGCAAGGGGUCCAUCAUUCAGGAAGAUCUGUGUCAAAAUCCUUCCCGACCUUAUCUUGAAAGUUUAGAAGCUUACCAUAAAUGCUUGAAACCCACCAAUCAAAACCUCUCCCACUAGCAUUUCUACAUGCUGGCCUGUUCUCCCUAACCUCUUAAAUUACACCCCAAAUCCUGAAUUGGGGAGACAGAUCUGAGGGCAUAUGCCCCCUGUCUCCCUGAAGAUUGAUCUGGCAGAAUAAAG